rnacentral:rRNA from 1 species
AGCCAAGAACUCUGUGAGCUGUAGCGGUGCUGACGUGCAAAUCGCUCGUCAAACUUGAGUAUAGGGGCGGAAGACUAAUCGAACCAUCUAGUAGCUGGUUUCCUCCGAAGUUUCUCUCAGGAUAGCAGGCCCAAAUAAUGAUUGUUGUGUGUGGUAAAGCGAAUGAUUAGCAUACUCGGGGGCGCUUAGCCUUCGGAUGAUUCUCAAACUUUAAAUGCGCACGGAUGUUGCCGCUUGGGUGGGCGGCAUCUCUAAAAACUUGGGCUUUGUGGGCCACUUUUGGUAAGCAGAACUGGCGAUACGGGAUGAACCGUAAGUGUGGUUAAGGCGUCAAAUUGUCCGCUUAUAGAUUCCAAAAAAGGUGUUGAUUCAUCGAGACAGCAGGACGGUGGCCAUGGAAGUCGGAAUCCGCUAAGGAGUGUGUAACAACUCACCUGCCGAAUGAAUUAGCCCUGAAAAUGGAUGACGCUAAAGCGGGCAGCCGACACCACACCGUUUGAGUGAGAAAUAAAAAAAAAUGCUUAAAUGAGUAGGAGGAACGUGGUGGUUGUGUUGAAGCGUGCGUGCAAACGUGCGUGGAACGGCCACUAGUGCAGAUCUUGGUGUUAGUAGCAAAUAUUCAAACGAGAACCUUGAAGGGCGAAGCGGGGAAGGGUUCCACGCCAACAUUGAUUGAGCGUGGGUAAGUCGUUCCUAAGCCGCGUGGCAAUAGCUAAAAAUCGGCGAAAGGGAAGCAGGUUGAUAUUCCUGCACACGGAUGUGGAAGCGGUGACGCAUUUUACUUGGGGCGGUGAAGCUGGCGGUGGCUCUGGGCAGAGUUGUCUUUUCUGUUUAACUGUAUUUUUUUUUACUGGGCUCGUAGUGUGGAAUCCGAUUGUCGGGAGAAACACACGGGUUUGGGAAUAGCGCCGGGUUUUUCUCCGGCGUCCAGAACGCCAUCGUCGGACCUUGAAAAACUGCCUGCAGGCGCAAGCCUAAUAAUGAAAUAUUUUAUGAAAAUCCACGCCGUGACGUACCGAUAACCGCAGCAGG